rnacentral:rRNA from 1 species
AUGGAGGCGCAACCAAACCCCCUGCCCGUGUCUGAGGUCAGGGGUUGGUCUGAGCUCCCACUUGAUGCGCUUUCUGCAAUCUUCAUGAAGCUUGGGACCAUUGAGAUUCUGUGGUUGUGGCGUUUCGUGGACAUGACUCGCCACAAGGUGGUUUUCUCAAAGGCGGAAAAUGUCAUGUGCAAAAUGGCAAAGGUGGCUAUAGAUCGUUCCGAUGGACGGAUGGAAUCGUUCUGGGCUCAGAAGUUUGUCACUAGCGAACUCCUGAAUUACAUUGCAAGCAGAUGCAACUUAUUGAAGAGCAUUCGGCUCAUUGGUGCCUAUUACUUUUGGGAUGAUGAGAACGUAGUAAUUAAGCUUGCAGCUAAAUGUCCAACGCUAGAAGAGAUAGAGUACUCUGAUCAGAAGCAGUCAUGGUCCUUUUUCAUGGCGAUCGGCGCAGCACGCCCAGAGCUGAAACGUCUAAGAGUCCGUUUGCCUUGGUUCGACUCGGAUUCAAUAGAGCGUGAGAUGAGGAUGGAACAGCGGAACGGCGAUGACGAAGACGAGGAGGAGGAGGAAGAGGAGUCUGAUGAGGCUUGGGAGGCAAGACACAAUGAGGAGGCCUUCGCCAUAGCAGAGAGCUUGCAUGAGUUGCGGCUCCUUCAGAUGGCAGGCUACGGCCUGACCAACAAAGGGGUAUACGCCAUCCUUGAAGGCUGCCCCCACCUCGAGUUCCUCGACCUUAGAGAAUGCCUCCACAUCGAAGUUAACGCUGAACUCCGAGCUCGCUGUGCCAAUAUCAGGCAUGUCCCGCUGCCAGGACGGGAGCCUUAUGUUCGGUGCCCAGAGCUCCAAACCAUCGAGGCGGAUGAAGGUCAAGUGAUCGAGAUGGCUGAUCUCUAUGAAACGGAGGCUCGCUCUCUGCACGACGAGCCAGCGAUGGAGAAUGAUGACUAUGGCGAGAACUAUUGUGACUGCUGGGAUGACUACUCGCUCCCCUCGUCCCCUGACUCGCCUGCCUUGCCGAUGUACUCGAUGGAUGAUCCCAGAUACUACUGGGAGCUGUAA